UGAAGUCAGGCGUUUAACCGACUGAGCCACCCAGGCGCCUUUGUUUUAAUAAGGAGCUAUUUUUUCCAUGAGAGAUAGGAUUCUACAAGUUUCUUCUUUUACUCCGGGAAAAUAGUGUCAUCUCAGAAAUUAUUUUCUCAUUUUGCAUUGCCUGGUAAAGACUCAUGUUGCAAAUAGUAAAAGUGGCUGCUAAAACAUGGAGACCAUCGUUCGCAUUUCUCAAGUAUAUGUCUGUUGGCAUGUUUGCAUUUUCAGUUACUGAAGUGUAUCCUCUUUCAGAAAAACAAUCCCAAAUUGCAACGGAGCAGACCUGUGGGUGUGAGAACAGAAGGGCUUUUCCUUUGAUGCGGUCUCUGAGCGGUUUCACACACUUGAACACCUGGAAAUCAAAACCUCUUAAUUCUCUGAACACUUUUCCUGGUAAUUUAGAAAAGUCAUUGGUUGACCACUUGGCCCUGAUCUCUUCUUCUUUUUUUCUUUUCUUCUUUCUCUCUUCUUUCUUCCUCCCUGUCUUCUUUCUUUCUUUCUUUCUUUCUUCCUUUCUUUCUUUUCCUUCCUUCCUUUUUUCCUGUCUGUCUUUGUCUUUCCUUCCUUCCUUCUUUCCUUUUUUUUUUUCUCUUAUCAUUUCCAUUUUCCAUCAGCAUUUUUCUGUGAUUACUACUUCCAUGGAAAACAGAUAUUUUUCUAAAUUAAUCUAAGGAAAACAUAAAAUAUCAUAUGCCAUGAAGACUAUAAUUCAAGGGCUUCCAAGAGAACUCAGAAAAUCAAAUUGCCAGGACAAAGUUUUUAAGCUGGUCGUGCCGUGAAGCUUAGCUGAAAGUUUUGUAGAACGUCUAACCAGGCUGGAUCAAGAUAUUUGUAGAAUGAAGUAAGCUCAUAGUAACUCCCACUGUCUUCUUUCCGCAUCGGCAUCAAGUGCGCCGGAAACACUGACUCUGGCAGGACAGCUGGAGCAGGUGGUCUACACGCGGGACUCGACCGCAUGACCCACAGCUGCUUUUCCGCUUAAGCUGGGACAGCGGCAGAAAGACCAGACCAGACAGGAUCCUCUGAUGAGCAGCUCAGGACUUUACAUCAGUGCCCUGGAAACUCUUAGGGUAAUUUCAAGUUCAAAGGAACAGUCUUUCGGCAACAAAUUAGUUAAGUGACUAUCAUUAAGAUUUCAGACUCUGUAACAGUUCAUCUGGCUACUAUCGUGGGAAUGGGAUUCUGGAAAGAACUGCUUUACAGUCAAACCAGGUCCCUACCCCUCAAUACAUAGAAACAAACAAACAAACAAGAAAACCAACGUGUUAAAAAAAUUGAACAUUCAUUUAUUAUAUAUUCAAAUA